rnacentral:rRNA from 1 species
GACGAACGCUGGCGGCGUGCUUAACACAUGCAAGUCGAACGGAAAGGCCCCUUUGGGGGUACUCGAGUGGCGAACGGGUGAGUAACACGUGAGUAACCUGCCCUUGACUUCUGGAUAACUUCAGGAAACUGGGGCUAAUACCGGAUAGGAAUCCUUGCUGCAUGGUGGGGGUUGGAAAGCUUCGGUGGUUUUGGAUGGACUCGCGGCUUAUCAGCUUGUUGGUGGGGUAGUGGCGUACCAAGGCUUUGACGGGGAGCCGGCCUGAGAGGGCGACCGGCCACAUUGGGACUGGGCGACGGCCCGGACUCCUGCGGGAGGGAGAAGUGGCGAAUAUUGGACAAUGGGCGGAAGCCCGAUGCAGCAACGCCGCGUGCGGGAUGACGGCCUUCGGGUUGUAAACAGCGUACCGCAGGGGCGAAGCUUGGGGUGACGGUACCUGCAGAAGAAGCAACGGCUAACUACGUG